GCUCGAUUCGUCUAUCGGUUAGGACGCAAGAUUUUCGAUCUUGAAAGAUGAGUUCGAUUCUCAUAUCGAGUA
rnacentral:tRNA from 1 species